CCUACGGGUGGCUGCAGUGGGGAAUAUUGGUCAAUGGGCGCAAGCCUGACCCAGCAACGCCGCGUGAAGGAAGAAGGCUUUCGGGGUGUAAACUUCUUUUCUGAGGGACGAAGAAAGUGACGGUACCUCAGGAAUAAGCCUCGGCUAACUACGUGCCAGCAGCCGCGGUAAUACGUAGGUGGCGAGCGUUAUCCGGAUUUAUUGGGUGUAAAGGGCGUGUAGGCGGGAAAGCAAGUCAGAUGUGAAAACUCAGGGCUCAACCCUGAUACUGCAUUUGAAACUGUUUUCCUUGAGUGCUGGAGAGGCAAUCGGAAUUCCGGGUGUAGCGGUGAAAUGCGUAGAUAUACGGAGGAACACCAAUGGCGAAGGCGGAUUGCUAGACAGUAACUGACGCUGAGGCGCGAAAGCGUGGGGAGCAAACAGGAUUAGAUACCCGAGUAGUC
rnacentral:rRNA from 1 species